rnacentral:lncRNA from 1 species
AUGACUGCCAUGGUUCUCUUGUGGGUUUUCAUGGGCUUAUUUGCUGGUUAUUCCUCUGCACGGUUGUACAAAAUGUUCAGCGGUAUAGAGUGGAAGAGGAAUACCUUAAAGACUGCCUUUAUGUUUCCAGGAAUUCUAUGUGGUGGGUAUUGGGGUUGGGGGAAGAUGAGAUGGGGAUGGCGUUUUCUGGGUUUGGCUUUAUUGUUCUUGUUUUUACUUUUUUGA